rnacentral:rRNA from 1 species
AUUGAACGCUGUCGGCAGGCCUAACACAUGCAAGUCGAACGAGUGGCGGACGGGUGAGUAAUGUCUGGGAAACUGCACGCUGGAGGGGGAUAACUACUUGCAACGGUAUCUAAUACCGCAUACCAUCAGAUGUGCCCAGAUGGGAUUAGAGAGUAGGUGGGGUAACGGCUCACCUAGGCGAAACUCCCUAGCUGGUCUGAGAGGAUGACUAGCGACACUGGAACUGAGACACGGUCCAGACUCCUACGGGAGGCAGCAGUGGGGAAUAUUGCACAAUGGGCGCAAGCCUGAUGCAGCAAUGCCGCGUGUAUGAAGAAGGCCUUCGGGUUGUAAAGUACUUGCAGCGGGGAGGCGUUACCCGCAGAAGAAGCACCGGCUAACUCCGUGCCAGCAGCCGCGGUAAUUC